UUCAGUCUUGGCAGGUUGUGCAUUUCUAAGAAUUUGUCCAUUUCUUCCAGGUUGUCAAUUUUAUUGGCAUAGAGUUGCUUGUAGUAAUCUCUCAUGAUAUUUUUCUAUUUCUGCAGUGUCAGUUGUUACUUCUCCUUUUUCAUUUCUAAUUCUAUUGAUUUGAGUCUUCUCCCUUUUUUUCUUGAUGAGUCUGGCUAAUGGUUUAUCAAUUUUAUAUAUCUUCUCAAAGAACCAGCUUUUCGUUUUUUGAUCUUUGCUAUCAUUCCCUUCAUUUCUUUUCAUUUAUUUCUGAUCUGAUCUUUAUGAUUUCUUUCCUUCUGCUCUCUUGGGUUUUUUGUUUUGUUUUGUUUUUCUUUCUCUAAUUGCUUUAGGUGCACGGUUAGGUUGUUUAUUCGAGAUGUUUCCUGUUUCUUAAGGUAGGAUUGUAUUGCUAUAAUCUUCCCUCUUAGAACUGCUUUUGCUGCAUCCCAUAGGCUUUGGGCCGUCGUGUCUCCAUUGUCAUUUGUUUCUAGGAAGUUUUUUAUUUCCUCUUUGAUUUCUUCAGUGAUCACUUCAUUAUUAAGUAGUGUAUUGUUUAGCCUCCAUGUGUUUGUAUUUUUUACAGAUCUUUUCCUGUAAUUGAUAUCUAGUCUCAUAGCAUUGUGGUCGGAAAAGAUACUUGACAGAAUUUCAGUUUUCUUAAAUUUACCAAGGCUUGAUUUGUGAUCCAAGGUAUGAUCUAUCCUGGAGAAUGUUCCAUGAGCACUUGAGAAAAAUGUUUAUUCUGUUGUUUUUGGAUGGAAAGUCCUUUAAAUAUCAAUUAAGUCCAUCUUGUUUAAUGUAUCAUUUAAAGCUUGUGUUUCCUUAUUUAUUUUCAUUUUGGAUGAUCUGUCCAUUGGUGAAAGUGGGGUGUUAAAGUCCCCUACUAUGAAUGUGUUACUGUCGAUUUCCCCUUUUAUGGCUGUUAGCAUUUGCCUUAUGUAUUGAGGUGUUCCUAUGUUGGGUGCAUAAAUAUUUAUAGUUGUUACAUUUUCUUCUUGGAUUGAUCCCUUGAUCAUUAUGUAGUGUCCUUUCUUAUCUCUUGUAACAGUCUUUAUUUUAAAGACUAUUUCAUCUGAUAUGAGUAUUGCUAAUCCAGCUUUCUUGUGAUUUCCAUUGGCGUGGAAUAUCUUCUUCCAUCCCCUCACUUUCACUCUAUGUGUCCCUAGGUCUGAAGUGGGUUUCUUGUAGACAGCAUAUAUAAGGGUAUUGUUUUUGUAUCCAUUCAGCCAAUCUGUGUCUUUUGGUUGGAGCAUUUAAUCCAUUUACAUUCAAGGUUAUUAUCAAUAUGGAUGUUCCUAUUACCAUUUUCUUAAUUGAUUUGGAUAUGUUUUUGUGGGUCUUUUUCUUCUCUAGUGUUUCCUGCUUAGAGAAGUUCCUUUAGCAUUUUGUUGUAAAGCUGGUUUGGUGGUGCUGAAUACCCUUAGCUUUUGCUUGUCUGUAAAGUUUUUGAUUUCUCCGUCAAAUCUGAAUGAGAUCCUUUCCAGGUAAUCUUGGUUGUUGGUGUUCCCCUUUCAUCACUCUAAAUAUGUCCUGCCACUCCCCUGUGGCUUGCAGAGUUUCUGCUGAAAGAGCAACUGUUAACCCUAUGGGGAUUCCCUUGUAUGUUAUUCGUUGCUUUUCCCUUGCUGCUUUUAAAUUUUUUAUUUAAUUUUUGAUAGUUCGAUUAAUGUGUGUUUCAGCAUGUUUCUCUUUGGGUUUAUCCUGUAUGGGACUCUCUGUGCUUCCUGGACUUGAUUGACUAUUUCCUUUCCCAUGUUAAGGACGUUUUCGACUAUGAUCUCUUCAAAUAUUUUCUCAGACCCUUUCUUUUUCUCUUCUUCUAUAAUUUGAAUGUUUGAAUAUAAUUUGAAUGUUGGUGCGUUUAAUGCUGUCCCAGAGGUCUCUGAGACUGUCCUCAAUUCUUUUCAUUCUUUUUUCUGUAUUCUGCUCCCUGGCAGUUAUUUCCACUAUUUUAUCUUCCACCUCACUUAUCCACUCUUCUGCCUCAGUUAUUCAGCUACUGAUUCCUUCUAGAGGAUUUUUAGUUUCAGUUACUGUGUUGUUCAUCACUGUUUGUUUGCUCUUUAGUUCUUCUAGAUACUUGUUAAAUGUUUCUUGUAUUUUCUCCAUUCUGUUUCCGAGAUUCUGGAUCAUCUUUACUAUCAUUACUCUGAAUUCUUUUUCAGGUAGGUUGCCUAUUUCGUCACUUAUUUGGUCUUGUAAGUUUUCACAUUGCUCCUUCGUCUGUAAUUAUUUUUUGUCAUUUUUU